AUGGAAAUCACUUUAGGAGAAGCUACUAAACUCCUAGAUAAUAUUAUGGUUAAUUAUUCUCAAUGGCACACUGAAAGAUCUACUAAUAAGAAAGUGCAUGCGAUAGAAGAAAUUAAUGUUUUGAGUGGUAAGAUGGAUGAACUUAUGAAAUUAUUUGCUAAUAAAAGUGUUUCUUCUGAUCCUAAUGAUAUGCCUUUGUAUACUUUGAUUGAGAAUAAUAAUGAAUCUCUGGAUGUGAAUUUUGUUGGUAGGAAUAAUUUUGGUAACAACGUGUAUAGAGGAAACUUUAAUCCUAGGCCGUAUCCUAGUAAUUCCUCUAAUAAUUAUGGUAAAUCCUACACCAAUUCUUAUGGAAAUUUUAAUAAGAUGCCCUCUGAUUUUGAAUCUAAUAUUAAGGAAUUUAUUAUUUCGCAAAAGAAUUUCAAUGCUUUGAUUGAAGAAAAAUUGCUUAAGAUUGAUGAGUUGGCUAGGAACGUUGAUAGAAUUUCUCUUGAUGUUGAUUCUUUGAAACUUCGAUCUAUUCCACCUAAGCAUGAUAUCAAUGAUUCUCUCAAAGCCAUGAGAAUUUCCAUUGAUGAGUGCAAAGAAAGAACCGCUAGGAUGCGUGCUAAGAAAGAUUGCUUUAUAAAAGCGUGUUCUUCUAGUUUCCAUGAUAAUAAAGAUGAAGAUCUAAAAGUUAUUGAUGUGUCCCCUAUUAAAUCUUUGUUUUGUAAUAUGAAUCUUGAUAAUGAUGGGACUGAAUAUGAUCCACCUUUACCUAGAAGACGUUCCAAAAAUUCUGAGUCUUUAGAUCUUGAUGCUAAAAUUGUUAAAAGUGGGAUUGAAGAAGUCAAAACUUUAAAUAUUAAUGAACCCACUAUUUUGGAUUUCAAGGAAUUUAAUUAUGAUAAUUGUUCUUUGAUAGAUUGUAUUUCCUUGUUGCAAUCCGUGCUAAAUUCUCCUCAUGCUUAUAGUGAAAAUAAAGCCUUUACCAAACAUAUCGUUGAUGCUUUGAUGCAAUCUUAUGAAGAAAAACUUGAGUUGGAAGUUUCUAUCCCUAGAAAACUUUAUGAUGAGUGGGAACCUACUAUUAAAAUUAAGAUUAAAGAUCAUGAAUGCUAUGCUUUGUGUGAUUUGGGUGCUAGUGUUUCCAUGAUUCCAAAGACUUUGUGUGAUUUGCUAGGUUUCCGUGAUUUUGAUGAUUGCUCUUUAAACUUGCACCCUGCGGAUUCCACUAUGAAGAAACCUAUGGGAAGAAUUAAUGAUGUUCUUAUUGUUGCAAAUAGGAAUUAUGUGCCCGUGGAUUUUAUUGUUCUUGACAUACAUUGCAAUCCUUCAUGUCCUAUUAUUCUUGGUAGACCUUUCCUUAGAACGAUUGGUGCAAUUAUUGAUAUGAAGGAAGGGAAUAUUAAAUUCCAAUUUCCGUUAAGGAAAGGCAUGGAACACUUCCUUAGAAAGAAAAUUAAAUUACCUUAUGAAUCUAUUAUGAGAGCCACUUAUGGAUUGCCUUCCAUAGAUGGCAAUACCUAG
rnacentral:rRNA from 1 species